rnacentral:rRNA from 1 species
UACGUAGGGUGCGAGCGUUGUCCGGAAUUACUGGGCGUAAAGAGCUCGUAGGCGGUCUGUCGCGUCUGCUGUGAAAACUCAGGGCUUAACCCUGAGCUUGCAGUGGGUACGGGCAGACUAGAGUGCGGUAGGGGAGACUGGAAUUCCUGGUGUAGCGGUGAAAUGCGCAGAUAUCGGGAGGAACACCAGUGGCGAAGGCAGCACUCUGGGCCGGAACUGACGCUGAGGAGCGAAAGCGUGGGGAGCGAACAGG